rnacentral:rRNA from 1 species
AUACGGAGGAUCCGAGCGUUAUCCGGAUUUAUUGGGUUUAAAGGGAGCGUAGAUGGAUGUUUAAGUCAGUUGUGAAAGUUUGCGGCUCAACCGUAAAAUUGCAGUUGAUACUGGAUAUCUUGAGUGCAGUUGAGGCAGGCGGAAUUCGUGGUGUAGCGGUGAAAUGCUUAGAUAUUACGAAGAACUCCGAUUGCGAAGGCAGCCUGCUAAGCUGCAACUGACAUUGAGGCUCGAAAGUGUGGGUAUCAAACAGGAUUAGAUACCCUGGUAGUCCACACGGUAAACGAUGAAUACUCGCUGUUUGCGAUAUACUGCAAGCGGCCAAGCGAAAGCGUUAAGUAUUCCACCUGGGGAGUACGCCGGCAACGGUGAAACUCAAAGGAAUUGACGGGG